rnacentral:rRNA from 1 species
AGUGGAUGGGGAGCAACCUAGUUGUGCGUGUGUAAAGGUAGUGCCAAGAAAAGCGAUGAUCAUGUUGAAAAUCAAUUCCCGGUACCCGAAACCGACACAGGUGGGCAAGUAGAGAAUACUAAGGGGCGCGAGGUAACUCUCUCCAAGGAACUCGGCAAAAUGACCCCGUAACUUAGGGAGAAGGGGUGCCACCGAGAGGUGGUCGCAGUGAAGAGGCCCAGGCGACUGUUUAGCAAAAACAUAGGUCUCUGCAAACUCGAAAGAGGAGGUAUAGGGGCUGACUCCUGCCCAGUGCCGGAAGGUUAAAGAAGUUGGUCAGUCUUAGGAUGAAGCUAGCGACUGAAGCCCCGGUGAACGGCGGCCGUAACUAUAACGGUCCUAAGGUAGCGAAAUUCCUUGUCGGGUAAGUUCCGACCCGCACGAAAGGCGUAACGAUCUGGGCGCUGUCUCGGAGAGAGGCUCGGCGAAAUAGGAUUGUCUGUGAAGAUACGGACUACCUGCAUUUGGACAGAAAGACCCUAUGAAGCUUUACUAUAGCUUGGAAUUGUGUUCGGGCUUCCUGUGCGCAGGAUAGGUGGGAGGCGUAGAAGGUAUUCUUGUGGGGAUACUGGAGCCAACGGUGAGAUACCACUCUCAGGAGGCUAGAAUUCUAACUUAAUUAAGGACAGUUUCAGGUGGGUAGUUUGACUGGGGCGGUCGCCUCCAAAAAGGUAAUGGAGGCGUACAAAGGUUCCCUCAGACUGGUUGGAAAUCAGUCGAAGAGUGCAAAGGCAGAAGGGAGCUUGACUGCGAGAAGUACAGUUCGAGCAGGGUGGAAACACGGUCUUAGUGAUCCGACGGUGCUGUGUGGAAGGGCCGUCGCUCAACGGAUAAAAGUUACUCUAGGAUAACAGGCUGAUCUCCCCCAAGAGUUUACAUCGACGGGGAGGUUUGGCACCUCGAUGUCGGCUCAUCGCAACCUGGGGCGGAAGUACGUCCCAAGGGUUGGGCUGUUCGCCCAUUAAAGCGGUACGUGAGCUGGGUUCAGAACGUCGUGAGACAGUUCGGUCCAUAUCCGAUGUAGGCGUGAGAAUAUUGAGAGGAGCCUUCCUUAGUACGAGAGGACCGGGAAGGACGCACCGCUGGUGUACCUGUUAUGAUGCCAAUUGUAAACGCAGGGUAGCCAAGUGCGGAGAGGAUAACCGCUGAAAGCAUCUAAGUGGGAAGCCCACCUCAAGAUGAGUAUUCUGGUGUAAGGUCACGGGAAGACGACCCGUAAAUAGGCACGAGGUGGAAGUGCAGAGAUGUAUGAAGCCGAAGUGUACUAAUAGACCGUCGGCUUGACC